UACGGGGGGGGGCAAGCGUUGUUCGGAAUUACUGGGCGUAAAGGGCUCGUAGGUGGCCAACUAAGUCAGACGUGAAAUCCCUCGGCUUAACCGGGGAACUGCGUCUGAUACUGGAUGGCUUGAGUUCGGGAGAGGGAUGCGGAAUUCCAGGUGUAGCGGUGAAAUGCGUAGAUAUCUGGAGGAACACCGGUGGCGAAGGCGGCAUCCUGGACCGGCAUUGACGCUGAGGAGCGAAAAGCCAGGGGAGCAAACGGGG
rnacentral:rRNA from 1 species